rnacentral:rRNA from 1 species
CCUACGGGAGGCAGCAGUGGGGAAUAUUGCGCAAUGGGCGAAAGCCUGACGCAGCGACGCCGCGUGAGGGAUGAAGGUCUUCGGAUCGUAAACCUCUGUUAGCAGGGAAGAACGGUCACUGUGCUAAUCAGCAGUGAAUUGCCGGUACCUGCAACGGAAGCACCGGCUAACUCCGUGCCAGCAGCCGCGGUAAUACGGAGGGUGCGAGCGUUAAGCGGAAUUACUGGGCGUAAAGGGCUCGUAGGCGGUAUGUCAAGUCAAGGGUGAACUCCCCGCGCUCAACGUGGGCACUGCCUUUGAAACUGGCAAGCUAGAGUGUGUGAGAGGAGAGUGGAAUUCCAGGUGUAGGAGUGAAAUCCGUAGAUAUCAGGAGGAACAGCAGUGGCGAAGGCGACUAUCUGGCACAUAACUGACGCUGAGGCGCGAAAGCGUGGGUAGCAAACAGGAUUAGAUACCCCUGUAGUC